UACAGAGGUCUCAAGCGUUGUUCGGAUUCAUUGGGCGUAAAGGGUGCGUAGGUGGCGCUGUAAGUCGGGUGUGAAAUUUCGGAGCUUAACUCCGAAACUGCAUUCGAUACUGCGGUGCUUGAGGACUGGAGAGGAGACUGGAAUUCAUGGUGUAGCGGUGGAAUGCGCAGAUAUCAGGAGGAACACCGGUGGCGAAGGCGGGUCUCUGGGCAGUAACUGACGCUGAGGAGCGAAAGCGUGGGGAGCGAACAGG
rnacentral:rRNA from 1 species